UAGAGGUCCCUUGCAAGUGCUUACCGCAAAUCCCGCCAGGCCCGGAAGGGAGCAACGGUAGUGGAAGAGUGCUGUGCUGAGAUUUGGCUUUUGGGA
rnacentral:SRP_RNA from 2 species